rnacentral:snoRNA from 1 species
AGUGCACAUUUUCAGAGCUUGGAGUUGAGCUGUAAGAUGGCCAAUGAACUUGCAAGUGUAGAUAGCAAGCAACAUAAGUGGCAAGUUUUGGCUAAAGCUCCACUGUGGCCCAGUGAGUGGAGUUUGAUAGUAUACUGUGCUACAAGC